rnacentral:rRNA from 1 species
UACGAAGGGGGCUAGCGUUGUUCGGAAUUACUGGGCGUAAAGGGCGCGCAGGCGGCUCUUCAAGUCAGAUGUGAAAGCCCCGGGCUCAACCUGGGAACUGCAUUUGAGACUGGAGAGCUUGAGUUCGGGAGAGGAGAGCGGAAUUCCCAGUGUAGAGGUGAAAUUCGUAGAUAUUGGGAAGAACACCGGUGGCGAAGGCGGCUUCCUGGACCGACACUGACGCUGAGGCGCGAAAGCUAGGGGAGCAAACGGG